AUUGAACGCUGGCGGCAUGCCUUACACAUGCAAGUCGAACGGUAACAGGUCUUCGGAUGCUGACGAGUGGCGAACGGGUGAGUAAUACAUCGGAACGUGCCCGAUCGUGGGGGAUAACGAAGCGAAAGCUUUGCUAAUACCGCAUACGAUCUACGGAUGAAAGCAGGGGACCGCAAGGCCUUGCGCGAACGGAGCGGCCGAUGGAAGAUUAGGUAGUUGGUGGGAUAAAAGCUUACCAAGCCGACGAUCUGUAGCUGGUCUGAGAGGACGACCAGCCACACUGGGACUGAGACACGGCCCAGACUCCUACGGGAGGCAGCAGUGGGGAAUUUUGGACAAUGGGCGAAAGCCUGAUCCAGCCAUGCCGCGUGCAGGAUGAAGGCCUUCGGGUUGUAAACUGCUUUUGUACGGAACGAAAAGACUCUGGUUAAUACCUGGGGUCCAUGACGGUACCGUAAGAAUAAGCACCGGCUAACUACGUGCCAGCCGCCGCGGUAAAAC
rnacentral:rRNA from 1 species